rnacentral:tRNA from 1 species
GGAAGAGUGGCCGAGUGGUUGAAGGCGCACGACUCGAAAUCGUGUUUGGGGCAACUCAACGGAGGUUCGAAUCCUCUCUCUUCCGCCA